GAUGAACGCUAGCUACAGGCCUAACACAUGCAAGUCGAGGGACCGGCGCACGGGAGUGUAACACGUAUCCCACCCUCCCUUUACUCGGGGAUAGCCUGUCGAAAGAAAGAAUAAUACACGAUACACAGGGUGGGGAUGCGUUCCACUAGGUUGUUGGUGAGGUACCGGCCCACCAAGCCUUCGAUGGAUGGGGGUUGUGAGAGGAAGGUCCCCCACAUUUGAGCUGCGACACGGUCCAAACUCCGACGGGAGGCAGCAGAGAGGAAUAUAGGUCAAUGGGCGUGAGCCUGAACCAGCCAAGUAGAGGGAAGGAUGAAGGCUUAUGGGUCGUAAACUUCUUUUAUAGAAGAAUAGGUAUUAUAUGAAUAAGGAUCGGCUAACUCCGUGCCAGCAGCCGCGGUAAUUC
rnacentral:rRNA from 1 species